rnacentral:rRNA from 1 species
ACAUGCUAAAAUAUACUUUGAGUCAGUGUUCUCGUCUGAUCACUGCAGUUAAGCAACGUUGGGCCCGGUCAGUACUUGCAUGGGUAACCGACUGGGAAUAUCGAGUGUGGCCGGCA